rnacentral:rRNA from 1 species
CUUUUAUGGAGAGUUUGAUCCUGGCUCAGGAUGAACGCUGGCGGCGUGCCUAAUACAUGCAAGUCGAGCGAACGGACG